GAAGUUUUAGGUUAUGUUUAAACUUUUAGUUUUCAAAAUUAAAGAAUAAAACUUUU
rnacentral:tRNA from 2 species